UGGGGAAUAUUGCACAAUGGGCGCAAGCCUGAUGCAGCCAUGCCGCGUGUGUGAAGAAGGCCUUCGGGUUGUAAAGUACUUUCAGCGGGGAGGAAGGGAGUAAAGUUAAUACCUUUACUCAUUGACGUUACCCGCAGAAGAAGCACCGGCUAACUCCGUGCCAGCAGCCGCGGUAAUACGGAGGGUGCAAGCGUUAAUCGGAAUUACUGGGCGUAAAGCGCACGCAGGCGGUUGAUUGAGUCAGAUGUGAAAUCCCCGGGCUUAACCCGGGAAUUGCAUCUGAUACUGGUCAGCUAGAGUCUUGUAGAGGGGGGUAGAAUUCCAUGUGUAGCGGUGAAAUGCGUAGAGAUGUGGAGGAAUACCGGUGGCGAAGGCGGCCCCCUGGACAAAGACUGACGCUCAGGUGCGAAAGUGUGGGGAGCAAACAGG
rnacentral:rRNA from 1 species